AAAUAUUUGUUGCCAGCUUCCGGCCCUUGCCACACGGCACAUUCAGUGGUGGCAAGGGGGAUGGGGAAUGACAAAGGUUCCCGCUCCGGCUCUUGCCAAAGGACAAGAGGGAGCCUGGUGGAGGCUCAGUGAUUGGGAGCCAUGUGGAUUUAUGAAUCAUUUUUGUUAAUAUUAAUUCAUCCUUUGGACUUGUUUUUAGAAUUUGUGUAGAUGUUAUACCAAAUGUCACUCGUUUGACUUCUAUAUGAUUGCUUAAAUUUCAUUCAUGUCAAUCCUUUUUGAUCCUGUCAGUUGUACCUUUUCAUUUGCAAGUACAAGUUGUGUAUAUGUAUUUAUUAUACCUCUGUUGCAAUAUUCCUUUAUCAUUCAAAAGCAUUGUGCAUUAACAUUUUGAAGUGUCCACAAAUGUGUAAAACAAAGAUUGACAUGUCUCUGUUGUUUUUUUUCAGCAGUGAGAACAUUGUGCUCAUGACACACAGCAGAAGAGAAGCAGAGCUUGGUCUAUGACUGUAUGUGGAAGAAGCAGACUGACUUGAUUCCAACCAGCCAGAAAAGGACACGUAGAUAUUGAUCGCAACCAAUUCUGAAAAGAUUUAUAUAUUUUGACGGAAUUGUAAUUUUUCUGCAAAUAAGAUCUAUUAUGUAGUUUGCUAUUUUCCCAGAUUAACUUUAAACAAUGUAAAAACUUAAGCUCAAAUUACAUUGUAUUUACAUUAAGUCAAUCAGAUUGUGAGAGCAGACAAGUGUAAAAUUGCAAUUUUGUGAAAGUAAAACUGUAAAAAUUGAAA